AGCCAGUGUGGCAUAGUGGUUUGAGCAUUGGACUAUGACUCUGGAGACCAGGGUUCGAUUACCGCUUGGCUA